rnacentral:ncRNA from 1 species
CUCUGGGGUUAGAGUGCGGCAACGUAUCUUUGCUUCAAGGAGUGUGUAGUCUGACUUGAUAGGUACGUUAACAAAAAACUUCUUAGAGGGACUACCUGCCUCAAGCAGGCGGAAGUCCGAGGCAAUAACAGGUCUGUGAUGCCCUUAGAUACCUUGGGCCGCACGCGCGCUACAAUGCAGAUAGCAAAAAGGUUCCUGGUCUGGAAAGAUUGGGUAAUCAAUUGAAUUUUCUGCGUAACUGGGAUUGAUCUUUGUAAUUAUUGAUCAUCAACGAGGAAUUCCUUGUAAGCGUAAGUCAUUACCUUAUGCUGAAUAUGUCCCUGCCCUUUGUACACACCGCCCGUCGCUCCUACCGAUCGAAUGAUACGGUAAAGUUAACGGAUAGUUUUUUUGUGGCAACACAAUUAAAAUUAAAAGUUAUUUAAAUCUCAUUGUUUAGAGGAAGGAGAAGUCGUAACAAGGUAUCCGUAGGUGAACCUGCGGAUGGAUCAUUU